UCACCUAAUUUAAUAGGAGGCUAUAAUCUAAUUAUUACCAUAACUAUUUCAUUUUUAGGGACCUAACAAUUUUAGAGGAUUUAAUUAGUUGAAUUGAGAGAUCAAAAAAGACUUAACCAGUUAAUCUUAAUCCUCCCACUGACUUCACCAAGUCAGGUUAAAAAAGAUUAGGUAAAAUCUGAUCUAGCCAACCAGUCAUAAAUUCUUUCACUAACUUCACCAA
rnacentral:lncRNA from 1 species